CCUACGGGUGGCAGCAGUGAGGAAUAUUGGUCAAUGGCCGAGAGGCUGAACCAGCCCAGUCGCGUGAGGGAAGACGGCCCUACGGGUUGUCAACCUCUUUUGUCGGGGAGCAAAGCGAGUCACGUUUGACUCAUUGAGAGUACCCGAAGAAAAAGCAUCGGCUAACUCCGUGCCAGCCGCCGCGGUAAUACGGAGGAUGCGAUCGUUAUCCGGAUUUAUUGGGGUUAAAGGGUGCGCAGGCGGAGGGGCACGUCAGCGGUCAUAUUGCGGGGCUCAACCCCGUACUGCCGUUGAAACUGCAUCCCUUGAGUGCGCGAGAAGGAGGCGGAGUGCGUGGUGUAGCGGUGAAAGGCAUAGAUAUCACGCAGAACUCCGAUUGCGAAGGCAGCAUACCGGCGCGCAACUGACGCUCAUGCACGAAAGCGUGGGUAUCGAACAGGAUUAGAUACCCGAGUAGUC
rnacentral:rRNA from 1 species